GGAUUCGAUCCCGGAUCUCCAGGAUCGCGCCCUGGGCCAAAGGCAGGCGCCAAACCGCUGCGCCACCUAGGGAUCCCUCCCAGUACAUUUUAAAUCUCUGUCCCUGGGCAGCCUCCUUUCCAUCUCACUACCCUGUUUUUGUUUAUUUGAGGUCUUAGCAGCAUCUGAAAAUACCUUGCACGUUGUUGAUUUACACUUUACUUGUGAAUACAAGCUGCUGCCCUUCAGGGAUGCAGGCAUGGUGCAGGGUGGGCAUCUUCUGUCUCAUAAGCACCCCCACUGCUCAGGCCAGAGCCUGGGAACAUGGGCAUUCAAUAAUCCUUGUCUGAAUGAAGUCUAUAGACACUGCUAGAAGUGAUGAGAAGAUCUAAUGAAAGAAUGUUUGAGAAAUCUCUUCAAAAGGUCUAAAGCACUAUACAAUGAAAACAAUGUGUUCACUGGAAGAUACCGCCAAGCUCUAAAAUUAAGCAUUUCCUUAAAUCCCUAGUAUCUCUUUAACCUAACUCCCCAACCCCCUUUUGCACUUGUCAUGCCGAGCACCGAAUGAUAAAUGGAAUUAUUGAAUCAUUAUACUGUACACCUGAAAUAAAUCACAUUGGAUGUUAACUAAGUAGAAUUAAAAGAGAUUAAAAAAAUAAAAGAAAGCAUUUCCUAGCACAUCACAGGCAGGCUUCAGAAGAGUGUCAUAGAAGGACUUCUCCCCAUUUUCCCCCAGCAAGGUUAAGAUACCCACAAGUCUUAGAAAAAGUUCUUAAUAGGGAAAAUCAUGUCAUUGAUGACACACACAACCCGAUCCCUCCAGGAUGUCUGCUUUUUCACGGGCAAUUUGACUACAGCUCCCAGCAGCCCCCGCAGUCAGGCCCGGUCACGUGAUCCUGUCCUAGCCAAUAAAAUGCGAGUGGGCUUGGUAGGCGCCGCUUCCGGGCCUGGCGCCUGCAGAGCUCUCAGGAACCGUCCAGGCUCUACCUGCCCACACCAUUUGUGGAGGAUACAUAGCCCUGAGUUUGCAGAAGGUCAAAACUUGGCACUGUUCCAGGGGCCGGGGGCAUUGGCGCUUCUUGUGACUUCAUUGUUGAUGACCUUUCCUUGUGGUUCUAAACCCUUCUCCUCUGCCCUACGUGCCUCCUCCCUCAGACCAUGUACCUGCCAGUGA
rnacentral:lncRNA from 1 species